AGCCUACUAGCUCAAUUGGUAGAGCAUCAAAAGAUGUGGGUUCGAAUCCCACGUAGGUUU
rfam:Spinacia oleracea cultivar SynViroflay scaffold18756.con0002.1, whole genome shotgun sequence.